rnacentral:rRNA from 1 species
GACGAACGCUGGCGGCGUGCUUAACACAUGCCAGUCGAACGGAAAGGCCCGGUUCUUGCGGGGUGCUCGAGUGGGGAAAGGGUGUGAAAAACGCGUGUAUACCGUGCUUGACAGAGGGAGAUAACAUGGGAAAUCGGGUUCUAACACGACAGGAGCUUCCGCACCACGGGGGGGGUUGGAAAGUAUCGGCGGUUGGGGAUGGACUCGCGGCUAAUCGCCUUGUUGGAGGGGUAGUGGCUGACAAAGGCUUUGAAGGGUAGUCGACCUGAGAGGGUGGACGGCCACAUUGGGACUAAGAUACGGCGCAGACUCCUACGGGAGGCAACGGUCGGGAAUAUUGCACAAUGGGCGGAAGCCUGAGGCAGCGGCGUCGCGUGCGUAAUGCCGUCCUUCGAGUUGUGAACCGCUUUCGCCUGUGACGAAGCGUGAGUGACGGUAAUGGGUAAAGAAGCACCGGCUAACUACGUG